GGCCCAAUAGUAUAGUCGCAUUAUACUCCCUUCGGGCUGACGUCCACAGAGCGAGUUCCUGUUCAUUUGGGAGAGGUCCCGGGUUCAAUUCCCGGUUGGGCCC